GAUGAACGCUAGCGGCAGGCUUAAUACAUGCAAGUCGAGGGGCAGCAGCUCUGUAGCAAUACAGAGGCUGGCGACCGGCAAACGGGUGCGGAACACGUACACAACCUUCCUUUAAGUGGGGAAUAGCCCGGGGAAACCCGGAUUAAUACCCCGUAACAUUAUGAAGUGGCAUCACUUUAUAAUUAUAGCUCAGGCGCUUAAUGAUGGGUGUGCGGCUGAUAGAUAGUUGGCGGGGUAACGGCCCACCAAGUCUGCGAUCAGUAACUGGUGUGAGAGCACGGCCAGUCACACGGGCACUGAGACACGGGGCCCGACUCCUACGGGAGGCAGCAAGUAAGGAAUAUUGGUCAAUGGACGCAAGUCUGAACCAGCCAUGCCGCGUGGAGGAUGAAGGUCCUCUGG
rnacentral:rRNA from 1 species